UGUUCACAUUUUUGGUCCACUGAGAGGACA
rnacentral:piRNA from 1 species